CUAUAGGCUAGUCAAGCUUCCUAUAUACCCAACUACAUGAACAUCGUGUGCUUUUACACCCUACUCACAGGAGCACGCUGAAGAACCCCAGACCUAGCUAAAUUGCAGGUCUUUGAGCCCCAUCCCACCCCGAGAAAGAGCAUCUCUGCUCCAUUUGCACAAACAUGAUCAUCAGACUGGGCAGACUGACCCCUGGAUACUUCCGUCUCCUCCAGAGACAGGUGGCAGGAGAGGUGCAGAUGCAGCCUCAGGAUCGAGCAGUCAACCAAAUUGCCAUGAUGCUGGCCAUCCUGGGCCUCAGCCUGUCCUACUACAGCGCUCGCCAGAUGACGGAGACAGUUCAGCGCGAUCCCACACCCUGAACAUGCCCCCUGCAAUCUGGUUUGGGAUGGCCGGAGUGGAGAAAGCUGAUGAAAUGAGGAGGGGUGGAGGGGGAGAAGAAAGGGGGAUGAAGAGAAGAUGACGUCCAGCACAUUUUAAAUUCUCACUCACACUGCUGACAGUCGCAUUCAGACACUGGAUUUUUUUUUUUGCUUUUUACAUUGGGAUAACUAACUGUGUGGCGAAAGAUUUCAGAGUUCAGGGCGGCUCUUGGCGGCAGGCUUCUAGGUUUUAUUUUUUGUUUUUGUUUUGUUUUGUCUCAAGUCUGUCCUCAGGAGGAAAAGGGGGUUGGGAGUUAAUGGCCUUGGGGUCCUGUGAACUGGUGAGGAGAACAAGAAACCCUUCAAAUGCCCAUGUGCUUGUGUGGCCUGCGUUUCACUGGUUGCUGCGACGCAUGCAUGCGAGGAUCCAGCAAUGCUGCUCCUGGGUCUAAGGGGACAAUGAUGCACGUCCUGGCAGUGUUUCAAGCCCAGUUAUGAGGGCUUUAUUUAAAGGGAGUGUUGGUCUAGGUUCUCUGCAUUAAAUAUGUCAAGCAACAGUUGAAAGCAGUCCCACAAGAAAGAUGGGGUGGAAACUGUGAACCCUCUAAAUGUUUUCUGUUUUGUUGUUCAUCAAAGCCUUAGAGAGCCGUCAGAACUUGUUGAAGGAGAUGUCACUUCAUUAGACAGUUUUAACUCCUGGGAAAUUUUCCCACCUCACAGGCAACAUACAACGGCCUUGUUCAACAGUAAUGCAUUUCUAGGCACUAUAGUGGACUUUAAAAAGGGACCGUUGCAUCACUACUGGUGUCUUCUGUUUUGCUGUUCAGUGUUCUGCAUUACUAGACAAGUCAUUUAAAAUGUGUGGCUUUUUAGGGGAACUAUAUCCUUGGCAAUAUCUUUGUGUCUACCUUCAAAUAUUGCAUGAAGAGCCUCUUUGUUUUUUGUUUAAAACAAUCUUUAAAUCUUUAGUACUUUCAUUGAAGACUUCUAAAAACCAUAAUGAUAACGAUGAAUGUAUGUUAUUUUUUUAAAUGUUGAUUCAAAUAAAGCUGUGAAGUUUUUUGGACAAAAUUAAGAAUAUCUGCAGUUAUCUGCAAGCAGAAGUGUACAUGAAGGUACUUUACUAAAAUUAAGUUGCGGAGAUGUUCCCGGCCUGCUCUCUCUCUCGUGGAGGCGGGCUGCUGUGUGCCUCAUCAUGGUUCUGUGCCAGGAGAGACUCUUGUGUCUGCGGAUGUUUUGAAGCACGGCUGGCUUGGCUCUGCCACUUCCUCUUGCGCAUGGUGUGUGGCUCCCGCAGAAGUGUGCCAUCCGUCCUGAACAGGAAGUGGCUGUGGUAUCUGCUAGACAUCGUCUGUGUGUAGGACAGAGUGUUUUUGGCUGUACAAAGUAGAGCACUUUGCUCCCCUACUUGCCUCACUUUCUGCAUAGACCAUAACAUACAUAAGUCCCUUUACCUUCACCUACUAUAGAUAAGUAAUGCUAACAAUCUGUAUGCAGCUAUCUGGCUCAAACUGGCACAGGCCAAUGCAUACAGUGAACCAAAUAUUGGGUUCCAACAGGGCACUUUAAAUAGCCUUUUAAAGGCUAAUAAGUAAACGGCUGUAGAUGAAGAGGGGGUUGUCAGGUACAUGUUCUCUAUAUCUGCUAUACAUUAACCAGUAUGUUUUUAAAAGUUAAGGCCCCUCCUUGUCUGCAGGGUGUUAUCUCAAACACGUCGCUUUUUAUCAGACACUGGAACAGUUGAGGCUAGGAUCACAUGGUGGCUGUGUUGGGUGGAUUGGAGAAGAACGUGUUGCUUGUUAGAACAUCUGAUAAAAGCCGCUGGUAGUUGAGGACAUCUACAAAGCCUGUAUUUGUUGUUUGUCUUUAAGGGCACAGAGUUGCUCGAGGCGUUGUCAUAAUUGCCAGUGGGUGCCCUCAUGCGACGUGAGCUUGAGUGAGUUUUAGAGGACGUAUGGAUGUUUGACAGGCCUCUGUGUGUGGGCAGGGGUGUUAAGGGGAAGAGCUGCUCCCUUCAGGACCAUGUCAAACAUGGGGCAGGGGUACAGGCUUAGGGAUCAUUGCUUGCUUGCGCUGUGCAGUGGCUCGCCAGUUAAGCAAUGUGUUUGGCUGGACUGGAUGGGAAAAGCAUGUAUGUAAGUUAGUCUUGAGGUCAUGAGUUGGUUCACUUUCUUGUGUUGACUCGGGCCACCACAGAUGUUGUAUUAAAUUUGGGCUUUGCUUUUCAAAUUGCACAAGAAUUCCUGCAUUUCAAUUUUCUCCUCAAUCUGAGGUGAUCAGAGGGAGAUGAAAUGUUGACCUUUUUUAUGCUGCUGGAAAUUGGAUUCCCCACCAAACCAUAUGGUUUUUAAAAUUAAGUCUGCAGAUAAUAUGUUGCAUCUCCUCACAGUAAACAAGCCCAGGAGAAGCAAAGGCAGUUUUUAUUUUUGGGAGGGAGAGCGAGCGAGGGAGGAGGACAGUGCCUGCUCGUGCCUCGGCAGAUGUGUUGCCCUGUGACGGACUGCAGCCUUGUAGGGUGACACGUUUUAGUACUGCCUGCAAAACAGCCCCCCCACCUCCCGUUCGGUCAUUUCGCUCCCCCCAUUCGCUUUGGGUCUUGUACAUCACUGGCCACGUUCUCUCAGAGACGCUCCGUCACGGGGCACGUUCUCUCUGAGACACUCUGUUCCAGUGUUCCAACUCAGGACAUGAACCCGAGCGGCGGCUUCCCAUUGGCUGUGCGGUGAUGCGUCAUGACGUUGCCCCAAUUUAGAGCCGCAGAGACAAAGACUCGAUGGCACAGGCGUAGUCUGCAGGGAUGCUGCAGAUGGGCGUUUAAUAAAGGAGACAAAAGACCUGUCAUUAUCAAUAUUUAUUUCAUAUUCAUGACUGGUUAGGGUAAGGGUGAGCUUCAUAAAAUGGGCGAGGCCUUACUAGCCUUUCGGUUUGUGAAUACUUGAAUUUAAGAGUUUGGAAAUGGCCUUUGUAAACAAACAUUUCACCAUGAAUUUCACAUUUGGUUUGACUUCAGUCACCUUACCACCUUAGUAGCACACAUGGAGUUGCUUGGGAAGUUGUGUAAAAUAAAGAUCCAUGUCAGAGCAAUAUCUACCCUGUAUAUAAAUCUACCAGAGAAGGAACUAGAGAGAGGAUGUCCAAACUGGACAGGUGACCUUGGCUGUAAGACUGUAUAGUUCCUAUUGUGUAUGCUAUGUUUGUGUUGAGUGUGUGUCCAUUGUAGAGUAAUGGAAAUCAUUUGUUGCUUAUGUAUUCAUUUGAUCUUGUAUAUUACUUACUGAGUGCUUGCUUUUUAACGCGAAUGGCAAUACUAUUUGUACAAAGUUUGUACCGCCAUCACUGUGAAGAACCCACAGGACCGUCUGUUCAGGCCUUUACUGUGGGUCUGUAUAGCUCAUAUAUAAGAUCAUAUCAUGGCUCUCUUAGCCUCGCCUGGUGUGUGCUCACGUUCAUUUUCAAAACUAGUAUUGUACAGCCCCGUCCCAGCCGUGUCCCUCUGAGAGAAACCGUAUGUGUGUGUGUGCUGUGUGAACGCUCCUAUCCCAGUCUGAAGCCGUGUCCCUCUGGGAGAAACCGAAUGUGUGUGUGCUGUGUGAACGCUCCAAUCCCAGUCAGAAGCCGUGUCCCUCUGAGAGAAACCGUAUGUGUGUGUGCUGUGUGAACGCUCCAAUCCCAGUCAGAAGCCGUGUCCCUCUGGGAGAAACCGAAUGUGUGUGUGCUGUGUGAACGCUCCAAUCCCAGUCUGAAGCCGUGUCCCUCUGGGAAAAAACGUAUGUGUGUGUGUGCUGUGUGAACGCUCCAAUCCCAGUCAGAAGCCGUGUCCCUCUGGGAGAAACCGAAUGUGUGUGUGCUGUGUGAACGCUCCAAUCCCAGUCUGCACUAGGCUCUGGCAUGGAUCUGGACUCCAGCAGAAUCAGAUGUGGUCUAGGGUGUAUGGUGCCUGAGGAGGGACACAUUUAUUUCAACCUUUCCUGUAUAUUCUGCCCGACCGAAGCGAGAGCCCAUGGCCCUUAUCUAGGCCGGGUCCAGAGCGUUGUCAUCUGGAUACUCUGUAAAGACCUGAUUUUGUGCUUUUGCUGCUGCAUUUGCAAAACAAAAUAAAGAUUUAUUCAAAUGAA